GAUGAAGAACGCAGCGAAAUGCGAUACUUGGUGUGAAUUGCAGAAUCCCGUGAACCAUCGAGUCUUUGAACGCAAGUUGCGCCCGAAGCCAUUAGGCCGAGGGCACGCCUGCCUGGGCGUCACACGUCGUUGCCCCCCCAUCUACUCCUUCGGGAUUGCGGGGGGCGGAUGAUGGCCUCCCGUGCGCCUCGUCGCGCGGUUGGCAUAAAUGCCAAGUCCUCGGCGACGCACGCCACGACAAUCGGUGGUUGCGAAACCUCGGUUGCCCGUCGUGUGCGGUCGUCGCGCAUCGAGGGCUCGAAAAAAUUGCCGGGCUCCGGCUCGGCUUUCAACGCGACCCCAGGUCAGGCGGGGUUACCCGCUGAAUUUAAGCAUAUCAAGCGGAGGA
rnacentral:misc_RNA from 1 species